UUAAGUGAAUAAGGGCGCACGGUGGAUGCCUUGGCACUAGGAGCCGAUGAAGGACGGGACUAACACCGAUAUGCUUUGGGGAGCUGUACGUAAGCUAUGAUCCAGAGAUUUCCGAAUGGGGGAACCCAACAUCUUUAAUAGGAUGUUACGAUUGUGUGAAUACAUAGCACAUUCGAGGUAGACGCAGAGAACUGAAACAUCUAAGUACCUGCAGGAAGAGAAAGAAAAUUCGAUUCCCUGAGUAGCGGCGAGCGAAACGGGAAAAGCCCAAACCAGCAAGCUUGCUUGUUGGGGUUGUAGGACUCCAAUAUGGUAGUUCUUUCAGAUAGUCGAAUGACUUGGAAAAGUCAGUCAAAGAGGGUAAAAACCCCGUAGACGAAAUGUGGAAGACACCUAGGAGGAUCCUGAGUACGGCGGAACACGAGAAAUUCCGUCGGAAUCCGGGAGGACCAUCUCCCAAGGCUAAAUACUCCCUAGUGACCGAUAGUGAACCAGUACCGUGAGGGAAAGGUGAAAAGCACCCCGGAAGGGGAGUGAAAUAGAACCUGAAACCGUGUGCCUACAACAAGUCAAAGCCCGUUAAUGGGUGAUGGCGUGCCUUUUGUAGAAUGAACCGGCGAGUUACGAUUGCAUGCGAGGUUAAGUUGAAGAGACGGAGCCGCAGCGAAAGCGAGUCUGAAUAGGGCGUUUGAGUAUGUAGUCGUAGACCCGAAACCAUGUGAUCUACCCAUGUCCAGGUUGAAGGUGCGGUAAAACGCACUGGAGGACCGAACCCACGUACGUUGAAAAGUGCGGGGAUGAGGUGUGGGUAGCGGAGAAAUUCCAAACGAACUUGGAGAUAGCUGGUUCUCUCCGAAAUAGCUUUAGGGCUAGCCUCGGAAUUGAGAAUGAUGGAGGUAGAGCACUGUUUGGACUAGGGGCCCAUCUCGGGUUACCGAAUUCAGAUAAACUCCGAAUGCCAUUCAUUCAUAUCCGGGAGUCAGACUGUGAGUGAUAAGAUCCAUAGUCGAAAGGGAAACAGCCCAGACCACCAGCUAAGGUCCCAAAAUAUAUGUUAAGUGGAAAAGGAUGUGGGGUUGCACAGACAACUAGGAUGUUGGCUUAGAAGCAGCCACCAUUUAAAGAGUGCGUAAUAGCUCACUAGUCGAGUGACCCUGCGCCGAAAAUGUACCGGGGCUAAACAUAUUACCGAAGCUGUGGAGUACACCUUUAGGUGUAUUGGUAGGAGAGCGUUCUAAGGGCGUUGAAGGCAGAUCGUGAGGACUGCUGGAGCGCUUAGAAGUGAGAAUGCCGGUAUGAGUAGCGAAAGACAGGUGAGAAUCCUGUCCACCGAAUGACUAAGGUUUCCUGGGGAAGGCUCGUCCGCCCAGGGUUAGUCGGGACCUAAGCCGAGGCCGACAGGCGUAGGCGAUGGAUAACAGGUUGAUAUUCCUGUACCCGUUGUUUUUGUUUGAGCAAUGGAGGGACGCAGGAGGCUAAGGAAUGCAGACGAUCGGAAAUGUCUGUCCAAGCAGUAAGUCUGAAGAGGAGUCAAAUGCUUCUUUUCUUAAGGACAAGCUGUGAUGGGGAGGGAAAUAAUAGUACCGAAGUUCCUGAUGUCACACUGCCGAGAAAAGCUUCUAGUGAGAAAACAGCGGCCCGUACCGCAAACCGACACAGGUAGUCGAGGAGAGAAUCCUAAGGUGAGCGAGAGAACUCUCGUUAAGGAACUCGGCAAAAUGACCCCGUAACUUCGGGAGAAGGGGUGCUGAUCAUACGAUCAGCCGCAGUGAAUAGGCCCAAGCGACUGUUUAUCAAAAACACAGGUCUCUGCAAAAUCGUAAGAUGAAGUAUAGGGGCUGACGCCUGCCCGGUGCUGGAAGGUUAAGAGGAGUGCUUAGCGCAAGCGAAGGUACGAAUUGAAGCCUCAGUAAACGGCGGCCGUAACUAUAACGGUCCUAAGGUAGCGAAAUUCCUUGUCGGGUAAGUUCCGACCCGCACGAAAGGCGUAACGAUUUGGGCACUGUCUCAACGAGAGACUCGGUGAAAUUUUAGUACCUGUGAAGAUGCAGGUUACCCGCGACAGGACGGAAAGACCCCAUGGAGCUUUACUGUAGUUUGAUAUUGAGUGUCUGUACCGCAUGUACAGGAUAGGUAGGAGCCGUAGAAAUCGGAACGCUAGUUUCGAUGGAGGCGCUGGUGGGAUACUACCCCUGCGUUAUGGCCACUCUAACCCGCACCACUAAUCGUGGUGGGAGACAGUGUCAGAUGGGCAGUUUGACUGGGGCGGUCGCCUCCUAAAAGGUAACGGAGGCGCCCAAAGGUUCCCUCAGAAUGGUUGGAAAUCAUUCGAAGAGUGUAAAGGCAGAAGGGAGCUUGACUGCGAGACCAACAAGUCGAGCAGGGACGAAAGUCGGGCUUAGUGAUCCGGUGGUUCCGCAUGGAAGGGCCAUCGCUCAACGGAUAAAAGCUACCCUGGGGAUAACAGGCUUAUCUCCCCAAGAGUCCACAUCGACGGGGAGGUUUGGCACCUCGAUGUCGGCUCGUCGCAUCCUGGGGCUGUAGUCGGUCCCAAGGGUUGGGCUGUUCGCCCAUUAAAGCGGCACGCGAGCUGGGUUCAGAACGUCGUGAGACAGUUCGGUCCCUAUCCGUCGCGGGCGUUGGAAAUUUGAGAGGAGCUGUCCUUAGUACGAGAGGACCGGGAUGGACUUACCGCUGGUGUACCAGUUGUUCUGCCAAGGGCAUUGCUGGGUAGCUAUGUAGGGAAGGGAUAAACGCUGAAAGCAUCUAAGUGUGAAGCCCACCUCAAGAUGAGAUUUCCCAUUUCUUUAAGAAAGUAAGAUCCCUGAGAGAUGAUCAGGUAGAUAGGUCAGGAGUGGAAGUACAGUGAUGUAUGGAGCGGACUGAUACUAAUCGAUCGAGGACUUAACC
rnacentral:rRNA from 1 species